rnacentral:piRNA from 1 species
CAAGUGUGCCUGCUUUUGAUGUUGG